rnacentral:rRNA from 1 species
GACGAACGCUGGCGGCGUGCUUAACACAUGCAAGUCGAACGGAAAGGCCCUGCUUUUGUGGGGUGCUCGAGUGGCGAACGGGUGAGUAACACGUGAGUAACCUGCCCUUGACUUUGGGAUAACUUCAGGAAACUGGGGCUAAUACCGGAUAGGAGCUCCUGCUGCAUGGUGGGGGUUGGAAAGUUUCGGCGGUUGGGGAUGGACUCGCGGCUUAUCAGCUUGUUGGUGGGGUAGUGGCUUACCAAGGCUUUGACGGGUAGCCGGCCUGAGAGGGUGACCGGCCACAUUGGGACUGAGAUACGGCCCAGACUCCUACGGGAGGCAGCAGUGGGGAAUAUUGCACAAUGGGCGGAAGCCUGAUGCAGCAACGCCGCGUGCGGGAUGACGGCCUUCGGGUUGUAAACCGCUUUCGCCUGUGACGAAGCGUGAGUGACGGUAAUGGGUAAAGAAGCACCGGCUAACUACGUGCCAGCAGCCGCGGUGAUACGUAGGGUGCGAGCGUUGUCCGGAUUUAUUGGGCGUAAAGGGCUCGUAGGUGGUUGAUCGCGUCGGAAGUGUAAUCUUGGGGCUUAACCCUGAGCGUGCUUUCGAUACGGGUUGACUUGAGGAAGGUAGGGGAGAAUGGAAUUCCUGGUGGAGCGGUGGAAUGCGCAGAUAUCAGGAGGAACACCAGUGGCGAAGGCGGUUCUCUGGGCCCUUUCCUGACGCUGAGGAGCGAAAGCGUGGGGAGCGAACAGGCUUAGAUACCCUGGUAGUCCACGCUGUAAACGGUGGGUACUAGGUGUGGGGUCCAUUCCACGGGUUCCGUGCCGUAGCUAACGCUUUAAGUACCCCGCCUGGGGAGUACGGCCGCAAGGCUAAAACUCAAAGGAAUUGACGGGGCCCCGCACAAGCGGCGGAGCAUGCGGAUUAAUUCGAUGCAACGCGUAGAACCUUACCUGGGUUUGACAUGGAUCGGGAGUGCUCAGAGAUGGGUGUGCCUCUUUUGGGGUCGGUUCACAGGUGGUGCAUGCCUGUCGUCAGCUCGUGUCGUGAGAUGUUGGGUUAAGUCCCGCAACGAGCGCAACCCUUGUUCACUGUUGCCAGCACGUUAUGGUGGGGACUCAGUGGAGACCGCCGGGGUCAACUCGGAGGAAGGUGGGGAUGACGUCAAGUCAUCAUGCCCCUUAUGUCCAGGGCUUCACGCAUGCUACAAUGGCUGGUACAGAGAGUGGCGAGCCUGUGAGGGUGAGCGAAUCUCGGAAAGCCGGUCUCAGUUCGGAUUGGGGUCUGCAACUCGACCUCAUGAAGUCGGAGUCGCUAGUAAUCGCAGAUCAGCAACGCUGCGGUGAAUACGUUCCCGGG